AUGAAGUCCACUGCUAGUUUAUACAGUUUCUUGGUGGCAGUCGACAUCAUGUUUUUUCCAGUGGGUUUGGCUAGACAUAUGUUCGUCACUAAUGUAGAGGGAUCAAUCUAUGUUUUCAAAAACGAGAUAGGUAAGCUUGUGGCUUUGGACAGCAUCAACAACUAUGCCAUCUUCAUUGGUCACCAGAGGUCCCUGGCCAUUGAUGCCGACAAGUUCCCAGGCAUCGAGGCAAACUGUGUCUACUAUACCGACAUUCUGGGUUCAUCGGCUCAUAUCUGCAAGUGCAACAUCAAGGACAGAAAAGUAGAGAGGAUCUCUGAAGCUGCAGAGUUCGUGAAGCGGGGCAAACAGUUUGUCCUCGUCGCUGACCGUCCUUCGACGAUCAUCCACCUUCUCUCCAGCUACACCAUCAACAUCCCGGAGUCUCAACUGGCCUUGCAACAGAUUCAGUAA
rnacentral:rRNA from 1 species